UACGUAGGGUGCGAGCGUUAAUCGGAAUUACUGGGCGUAAAGCGUGCGCAGGCGGUUUUGUAAGCCAGAUGUGAAAUCCCCGGGCUUAACCUGGGAAUGGCAUUUGGGACUGCAAGGCUUGAGUGCGGCAGAGGAGACUGGAAUUCCUGGUGUAGCAGUGAAAUGCGUAGAUAUCAGGAGGAACACCGGUGGCGAAGGCGGGACUCUGGGCCGAUACUGACGCUGAGGAGCGAAAGCGUGGGGAGCGAACAGG
rnacentral:rRNA from 1 species